GCAGGACAUUUUACCAUGGCUCUCAUGGUUGGUAUAUCAGUAACUAUAGAAAUAAGAUUGGUUGGUGACGGUGGUACCAGAAAAACGACCUUUGUGAAACGUCAUUUGACUGGUGAAUUUGAGAAGUAUUUAGCCACCUUGGGUGUUGAAGUUCAUCCCCUAGUGUUCCACACUAACAGAGGACCUAUUAAGUUCAAUGUGUGGGACAUGGCCAGCCAGGAGAAAUUCGGCGGACUCAGAGAUGGCUAUUAUAUCCAAGCCCAGUGUACCAUCAUAAUGUUUGAUGUAACAUCCAGAGUUACUUACAAGAAUGUGCCUAACUGGCAUAGGGAUCUGGUUCGAGUGUGUGAGAACAUCCCCAUCAUGUUAUGUGGCAACAAAGUGGGCAUUAAGGACAGGAAAGUGAAGGCAAAAUCCAUUGUCUUCCACUGAAAGAAGUAUCUUCGGUACUAUGACAUUUCUGCCAAAAGUAACUACAACUUUGAAAAGCCCUUCCUCUGGCUUGCUGGGAAGCUCAUUAGAGACCCUAAUUUGGAAUUUGUUGCCAUGCCUGCUCUUGCCCCACCGGAGGUUGUCAUGGACCCAGCUUUGGCAGCGCAGUAUGAGCACGACUUAGAGGUUGCUCAAACAACUGCUCUCCCGGAUGAGGAUGAUGACCUGUGAGAAUGAAGCAGGAGCCCAGCGUCAGAAGUCUAGUUUUAUAGGCAGCUGUCCUGUGAUGUCAGCGGUGCAGCGUGUGUGCCACCUCCUUAUUAUCUAGCUAAGCAGAACAUGUGCUUCAUCUGUGGGAUGCUGAAGGAGAUGAGUGGGCUUCGGAGUGAAUGUGGCAGUUUAAA